AUUGAACGCUGGCGGCAGGCCUAACACAUGCAAGUCGGACGGUAGCACAAAGGAGCUUGCUCCUUGGGUGACGAGUGGCGGACGGGUGAGUAAUGUCUGGGAAACUGCCCGAUGGAGGGGGAUAACUACUGGAAACGGUAGCUAAUACCGCAUAACGUCGCAAGACCAAAGAGGGGGACCUUCGGGCCUCUUGCCAUCGGAUGUGCCCGAAUGGGAUUAGCUAGUAGGUGGGGUAACGGCUCACCUAGGCGACGAUCCCUAGCUGGUCUGAGAGGAUGACCAGCCACACUGGAACUGAGACACGGUCCAGACUCCUACGGGAGGCAGCAGUGGGGAAUAUUGCACAAUGGGCGCAAGCCUGAUGCAGCCAUGCCGCGUGUAUGAAGAAGGCCUUCGGGUUGUAAAGUACUUUCAGCGAGGAGGAAGGCGUUGUGGUUAAUAACCGCAACGAUUGACGUUACUCGCAGAAGAAGCACCGGCUAACUCCGUGCCAGCCGCCGCCGUAAUAC
rnacentral:rRNA from 1 species